rnacentral:rRNA from 1 species
UACAGAGGGUGCAAGCGUUGUUCGGAAUCAUUGGGCGUAAAGCGCGUGUAGGCGGCCAUCUAAGUUUGGUGUGAAAGCCCAGGGCUUAACCCUGGAAGUGCACUGAAUACUGGAAGGCUAGAGGAUAAGAGGGAGAUUGGAAUUCGAUGGUGUAGGGGUGAAAUCCGUAGAUAUCAGGAGGAACAUCAGUGGCGAAGGCGGCCAUCUGGCUCAUUCUGACGCUGAGACGCAAAGCGUG